UCUCGAUAGCGUAAAAGUUAACUCAAAUUUGUAUGGAGUUGGAACGCUACCUACGUUUGCCGCUAGGGGCGCUGUUCCAACUGCAUACUGCAAAUUUGAGUUAACUUUUACGCUAUCGA
rnacentral:pre_miRNA from 9 species